GAAUUGCAUUGCUAUUAGUAGAGCAGCAGCAAGCAGCAGAAUGUGUUUCAGCAGGAACACGAGAGGUCCCUACGGCUGUGUGACAAAACAGUCAAGCAUUGCACCGAAGGAAUUAAGCACCAAAUCUGGUAGAUGGAAGUACCGCCCUUGUGUCAAACCGAGAGUUGCUGAUGGCUUCAUAACUCAGUGGCGCUGGAGCACAGAAGGGUGUGACUGAGUUACAGAAGGCUGCUGAGUGCAGUUGCCUGUAAAUAGCAGCGCUGUGCACAGUGAACCAAAGCCUCUUUAUUCAGUGGAAGUCAGUAAGAGGUACACCCUGUUAAAAAAACAAUUGACUUCAUUUUCCUUGAGUGUGUUGUGAGAUCUGGGUUAAUAGUUUUCACCAGCAGAUAGAAAAUAAAGAAACUGCACAAAAUGCAACAGUGCAGCACAGUAGUGGUUGGCAGAGCAGUACGGGCUGACACAGUGCAGCCUGGAGGUGCCAUCACAGCUAGGAAAUGCUUCUGAAACAUAGAAGUACUUCAGAAAGCUGCAACAAUACGAAAGGAAAGCAUAAACGAGUUGUUUAGAAGUCCCUGACUACGGCUGCUUGCAACGCUAGAAAAU
rnacentral:lncRNA from 1 species